rnacentral:rRNA from 1 species
UCCCCUUCGGGGGGCGAGUAGAGUGGCGCACGGGUGAGUAACACGUAGGUAAUCUACCUUUGGAUGGGGAAUAACCACCGGAAACGGUGGCUAAUACCGCAUAAUGCAGCGGCACCUAAUGGUGACAGUUGUUAAAGCGGGGGAUCGUAAGACCUCGCGUCUGAAGAGGAGCCUGCGGCAGAUUAGCUAGUUGGUAAGGUAACGGCUUACCAAGGCGAUGAUCUGUAGCCGGCCUGAGAGGGCGGUCGGCCACACUGACACUGACAUACGGGUCAGACUCCUACGGGAGGCAGCAGUCGGGAAUUUUGGGCAAUGGGCGAAAGCCUGACCCAGCAACGCCGCGUGAAGGAUGAAAUCCCUCGGGAUGUAAACUUCGCAAGAACGGGAAGAAUAAGUAAGAGCUAACAUCUCUUAUGAUGACGGUACUGUUUGUAAGCUCCGGCUAACUCCGUGCCAGCAGCCGCGGUAAUACGGGGGGAGCAAGCGUUGUUCGGAUUUACUGGGCGUAAAGGGCGCGUAGGCGGCCACCGCAAGUCGGUUGUGAAAUCUCCGGGCUUAACCAGGAAAGGUCAAUCGAUACUGCGGGGCUAGAGUGCAGAAGGGGCAACUGGAAUUCUCGGUGUAGCGGUGAAAUGCGUAGAUAUCGAGAGGAACACCUGCGGCGAAGGCGGGUUGCUGGGCUGACACUGACGCUGAAGCGCGAAAGCUAGGGGAGCGAACGGGAUUAGAUACCCCGGUAGUCCUAGCCUUAAACGAUGAAUGCUUGGUGUCUGGGGUUUUAUAGUCCCCGGGUGCCGU